AAGAGUAACAAAAAAAAGGCUGGCGCAGCGACAUUACAAAAAAAAUGCAGCAACUUCUGUUGAAAAGACCAUAUUGUUUCCUCCAUUUUAACCAUGAAAGAUCAACAGGCUUCACCUCCUUCUCCAUUGUUAACCAACCCCCAAAACUCCAUUAAAGCCACCAUUAGCCACCGUUGAAAACCAAGGAAACAGAUCUGAAAUUGUCACCUAAAAUAGUCCCUAAAGCCACGAAAAUCAGUCCAAAAAGACAGCCAUGAAAUCCUAGCUCAAAACCAUCCAAAAACACCUGAGAAUAUAUCCAAAACCAACCUUGUUUCCACACCAAAAUCCUAGCAAAACCAGCUGAAAAAUAGCCUCUCAAACCCUUAAAACAACUGCAAAAAUCAGCCACCAAACAACCUUAAAAAACAGCAAAAUUCCAACGUCAACCCUACCUCCGGAUACCGAUAGAGUAUAAUGAUAUAGGCUUCCAACGAGUUUGAGUCAAGUGGGGUCGCAACAGUCGAGUUCGUCGGUUCGAGGUUCUGAUGAAUAGCUAACUUUGUUAUUUCUUUCGGAGUCUCAUUUUCACUGUAUGCAACAGAGAGAGUAAGUUCAAUAAUAAAGGUCUAAUUUUGUCUCCCUUUUCUCAUUCAUUUAGGAUGCUUAUGAAUAUCUGAUUUUAUCUCAAGUUGUUUUUUUGAAUUUGUAAUUGUUUGGCAUCAUUUGAUUGAUUGAGAUUAUUUGUUGUUAACUUCUUGUUGGUCUUUAAUUUAUUGUCAAGUGUGCUGUAAGUUAAAUUUUGAAAGAAGAAUCCAUAUGCUUCUUGAUUGAAGUUUAAUAUCUGAAGAUAGAAGAUAUCAAAUGGGUCAUGUGCUUUUGAUUAUAUUUUCAGAAAAAAGUGAAAGUUUGUGUUGGGCAGGGGAAUUUGAUUUUCCUUUAAGGAUAAUGGGUCAUAUUUGAAAAUGAAUUUUUUAUGUUUAAUUUAGUCAAGAUAUAGCUGCCCUGUUUCCAUUAAAUUUCCUCGUCCAUUUCGUAAACUAGUUGGUCCAAUUCUUGUAAAUACAUAAGGGAUCCUUUUCUUUAAUUACUAUGUAAGUGUAUCAAUGAAAUUCAUAACAUCUUCUCUACAAUUUUACUCCCAUAACUCUUGGCCUUACAAUAAUCUUAAGUUAGCUUCAGGAAAAUAAUUCAAGAAAAUGCGUAGUUGCUUUAGGCGCGCUAUCUUAAAAUUAACUUCCUAAACUCGGGUGCGCAUUUAUGUGACCCAUAUCCAAAUCUCAACAAUGUUAGAUAAAAUAUGUCGAAGACCGCGGGUGCAUUUAUGUGACGUUGUUCAAGACAUAUUUUAAAUGACAUUGUAAUCUUCCUUAAAGAUGAUUAAAAGCGGCUAAUGAUUUAAGAUUGCAUCAUAGGCUAAAACAUGUACUAAAAUCAGAUAAUAGGCCAAUUAUAAUAGUUGAGCGACCGUGCUAGAACCACGGAAUCCGGAAAUGCCUAACACCUUCUCCCGGGUUAACAGAAUUCCUUACCCGGAUUUCUGUGUUCACGGACUAUAAUAUAGAGUCAAUAUUUUCCUCGAUUCGGGAUUUGAACCGGUGACUUGGGUACCAUAAAAUUAUCCCAAGUGACGACUCUGAAUUUAAUAAAUAAAUAAUCUCAUUUCGAUUGUCACAUAAAGUUGGAAAAACUCCCUUAUACCCCUUUCGGAGGGUGUAGGAAAAAGGAGGUGUAACAAUGUGUAUUUAAGAAAGUCAUGAAACGACUUUCCAAUCAACUUUACGAAAAUUCUUUUUGAGAUCUGUUGCAUCUCAUUCGUGUAUACAAUAUAGUUCCAAAAAAUACUAGCUCUUAGGAGUUAUAUGGCAUCUGUAGGCAUACACAGUUUCAUUUCUCCAAAGCUCUUGAUGAUAUCUUUUCUUCCCCAUCCCAAAUAAGUUGACUUGAUAAUAGUUCUACACCUAAGCUCUGGCUCAUACGGAUUUUUCAUACUUCGAUCCACCGUUACAUGUUUCGUCACGAUUGCGUAUGUUGAAAGAUUGUCAAGAGAAUCGGCUCAGGUAUGUUAAGGCUAUCCCUUCAUUCUUUUGUCAUGAUUUAUACUUCACAAAUAAAACAAGCAAAUGCACAAUUUCCAUAAAUGACUCUAUUCAUAGAAAUACUAGAGAUGCUUAUGUUCUUGAUUUCCUAUGUGUCAUAUUAUUCUAUCAUCUAUUCAUGGGUCUCAGAAAAAUACAUAAGUUGAAAAAACGUUUACUUCAUGACAUUACUCAAAGGCAUAAUGGUCUUAUGAUAUUCCAAGAUAUUUAUUGACGUACUUCUCAUGCAUUGCAUUUAUGUACAUUGACCCAUGACCAGACAGCGUUAUAUACGCAUAUAUAUGUAUAUAGACGUAUAUGGGAUAUAGGAAAAGGUUAUGGCAUUAUAUACGCACCACCACCUGAUCAGCUGGUAUACAAUGAUGAUGUUGUCCACAGUGGCUGAAAUAUGACUCAGACGACGUUAUAUACGCGUAUAUAUGUAUAUAUAUAUAUAUAUAUGUAUAUGAGAUAUGGGAAAAGGUUACGGGGUUAUAUACGCACCACCACCUGAUCAGUUGGUAUACGUUGAUGAUGUUGCCCACAGUGGCCGAGAUGAUAUGAUGGGAUUCCCUCAGAGGCUUGAUGAUGUUAUUUACGUACAUACCUAUGAAUCACAUGAUAUUCAUACGCAUAUGCAUGACAUUAUAAAUAUUUCAUGAUUUACAGAGCUAUCCACACUUACAGGAUGAAUUGUCUACUCCAUGUUUCUUCCAUGUCCUUAAUUAAUGUUGACUUAUUGUUAUGUUUCAGCUCCGCCUUACAUACUCGGUACAUUAUUCGUACUGAUGUCCUUUUGUUGGGGACGUUGCAUUCAUGCCUGCAGGUAUAGACAAUCAGUUUGACGAGCCCUCACAGUAGACGAGAUUUGCAUUCAACGAAGGAUCGGUAAGACUCCACUACAUUCAGAGUGGAGCCGAGUCUAUGAGUC
rnacentral:lncRNA from 1 species